GGGGCUGACCGGUUUUGACAGCAUUCGAAAGGGUUAGUAAGCAUGUCGGGUCUUGUGAUUAAGCCCGUAAAAUCGUGUCACAUAUUUUUCAAUUGGCGAAAACAAUUUUGCUCUCGCAGCAUAAUCGAAUAAAGUAGAUUAGCUUUAUCCACGCACUAGGUGCGGGACGAGACGGUUCGCAGGUGGAGAUGUUUGAUUCCGGCCUGAUUACGAGUCGCACGUAAUUUCAAACUAGUUGUAUUCUUGUUCCGCUGAUACAACGAAACUUUAGGAACUAAGGUGGUAAUUAGGGUGUUUGUUUCCUUUUACCACACGAAAAUUAAUAACAAAAUACACAUGUAGAAAGCUGAUCGGUUCAAUGUUUGGACGAGGGUUCGAAUCCCUCCAGCUCCACAA
rnacentral:tmRNA from 1 species